UGAGAUGACGGCUCGACAGACGAGCAUAACCGGUCGGACGGGAGGGCAGGCGGGAGAGUAUGUCAGGUUUAGGUCGAACCGCACAGCGUUUCUCAGUAGUCGCGUUUCUAUACUCGGAUGGUGCGGUCGUGUCGCUUUCCUCGACGUUCCCAGUCUCUUGAUCUUGGUCUACAAUUUCCACUCUGUUUUUUCUCGAUUCGUAACCAACUACGUUUGCACGGAAUAACGGUAAAGAGCUCUCGAGUAUCCCGGCGUUACCAGCUUAGGAAUUGGAGCGUGCGGCGGCGCCACUUUAGAUUCUCUACAUCAGGGGUCGGAAAACUAUGGUCCGCGGGCCAGAUUCAGCCAAUCACAUUGCAGGUUGCAGUUUAUGUACGAGAAAAUUGCGAGGUGUUUGCGAGACCAGGCGAACGUCUCACCCUUGGAAGUGUUUAAUAAAUUUAGGCGGUUCUUUCUUGUUUUCUUCGAUUUUCCGCGCGUCUGCGCACGUUGCGCAAUCUAUCGAGCCGUAGUGUCAUUGAGUUCUCAAAUGCAUAUGUAUAUGCACACUACUGUCCACAAGCAUCCCAAUACUUAAACGCUCACUGUUACUGGAUCUGCGAGGAAUACAAUAGCGAGGGAACCAUUAUCGAAGCCACGGAAUAAUCAACCGAGACGAUUUCUCAUAAUUAUAUUGUAUGUGGACGAAAAAUAACAUUCAGGGUGGGGCUCGAGUAUAUGAACCUCAACCAAACACUUAAUGUAGGUAAAUCAGUAACGAUCGAAUCCUCUAGUUCGUCCCUGUGGCACUAGAUGGUUACUGCAGGUGACCUCUCUGUCGCAAAAAAAAGAAAAGAAAAAAAAGACCGGAAAAAUUGUUUAUGAAACUCGGAGUAAUUUUGAAGAAACGCGACAAGAAUCACUCUCUCAUAUUUCACCCUAUUCAGCUUCUACGUUGAGAACACAUCUCGAGCAAAAAGUAUAUCCAAGUAGUUGACGCACGAAUAAUAUAUUUUAUGCAUUUAAACAUUUUGAAAGUUGAAAUGUUUGCUAGUGUAGAUCGUGUUACAAGUUGAAUGUAAAUCCGUUUCGUGUAAAGUCGUUGUUCGAUCGGGUUUACGGGGAGAUGCAGAGACUCGGUGGUGCUUGCGGGGAAUAAUCUUCGUCUUGGCGAGUCACGAGUCACGAGUCACGAGUCACGAGUCACGAGUUUCUGUCCCUCUACGUCGCGUAGUUAUCCCCACUACGUUAACUGUAUCUCAUUCGCUUUCACUGUUUCUCACUCUCGUCCCCAACGUCCUCAGAUGCGAGCAAGGCGAAGAUAAAUAAACAGCUCUCAACUGUUGGAAACCUGUGCCUUUAAGGUGUUCGACGCACGGUCAAAUAUUAUUGUGGAACAUCGAACGAAUACUACUGGCAAAUAAUAUCGACCGUCUAGGGAUGAUAUUCUCGACUGAUUGCCAAGUUAUUUUACUUUUAAACUCGAUUUAAACGGUAUAAUCACAUACAAUGUAACUCCAUAAAUGUAAACUUCCAUUUCACGUUGGUAAUAUUUAAUGUUAACAUACAGUAUAUUAUUUAUACAAGUUCAUUGUACUCUGAGAGUAACUAAUAUGGCCGUAACGUUCAUUAAAAUUUACAUUCAAUGAAGAAAUUUCCAUUUCAAUGAUCUCGCUAUUAAAACAAUAUCUACUUGUUAUAUCGAGAGAUGAAAAGGGAAGCGAGAAAAUCAAUUGAUAAUUUAUUAGAAAUUACUCAUCGCUAGACCUACUUACAAGUCAGUGUUCGUACAAGUCCUGCAUCGAAGCAGAAAUUACCUAACACUAUACACUUUCUACUUGCACAUGGUAUCUCAUUCCCCGUAAUUCGGGGCUAAGCUCCGUGCAGUAGGUGGCGUCCGAUGACAGCUCGUCAGCUACGCGUUAAUUCCUAGGGGAGAAUACUGCACCUCUGAACGGUUAUACCCACAGAUAUCUAUGUAUAGCCUGUUGAGCUUACAUCGGAAUGGAUAAAUAUCUAAUAAUAAGCUAAAGCUAUAAAACGACGGAAAUGUUUGUACAAAAGUUAUUUGCUUCAAAUGGACAAAUUACAUGGCGUAAAUAAUUUUGUUACAAAUUCGUCGACCUAUAAUACGUGGUUGGUUAUUGUAACAUAAAACCUUAUAAUUGGAGGUAUCGAUUUUAAAUUGCUUUAAAAUAGAUUUUAUACUCAAGUAGUUGCAAUGUUUUGUAACUGUUUAAACAAAGAAAAGAAAAAAAGGAAAUGUUUUUCAGAGAUAAAAAGUGUAUAUAGUAAAUAAAGGCUGUUGAGUUUCAUGGUUGGCCCUUGAACGAUAUACGAUACGAGGCAUCUAUCUAUGUAUGUUCUAUUACCGCAGUGAACGUGCUAAAUAAAAAUGUACGUCGACGAGUAUAUGUCGUGAUAAUUCUAAUAAAUUAACAAGAUACACGUGUAAUAUAGUUCAGAAAUACAAUACAUACAUACAUACAUACAUAUAACGAAUAGAGAUCGAUUUUACCACCGACGCUUUUAUUUUAUUAUUAAUAAGUUUAUUCUAAUUUUAAAUGUACAUGAUGCAUAUUUUUUACCUCUGUAGAUACAGACAAAUGGUUCCAGUUUAAUAAUAUCGGUUAAUAGUACCCCGUCUAUCAAUCAUUUUAUUCUAUUGUUCUAAUAAACUGACUCCCCAUUUUAAAUAUUUACAUCUGAAUUGAUUCUACGUGUCUUUAUUAAACAAAAAUAAAAUUAAAAAAAGAAAGAAAGAAAAAAAAGCGUCUCUAAUUGUAAGGGACAGAAAUAAAUACUGGCGAUAAAGAGGUUAUGUCUAGGCUGCGAAUUGUUACGGAUUCACGAUACAAACUGAUGUAAUAAGUACACCCUGAACAUAACCGAUAGGUGUAUCGGUAUAUUGUAUGUACUUACGCAAAACAAAAUAAAAAUUAAUUAAAUUAUUAAUUGUAGAAUAUAUUGAACAUACAUUCUGUAUAGUUUUUGUAUGUCUUCUGUAAUUACUGUACACCACAAUUCAAUCAAAUCUACAGUCCAGUUACGGCAACUAAAAAUCCCUCGAGCCGUCAAAUCGAAUUAGGCCAUUCGUUGGUUUAAUUAGGUGUUACAGAAGUAAACGAAUCAAAAUAUUGAAAUGCACAAUGGAGAUAUCUUAAUGGCGUGAAUGACAGAGUGCACGGGUCGGUUGGAAAUCAUGUCGGUGCAGAUAGACGUGAUUAUAGCGCGAAGCGCUUUAAGAGUGUUCGAUUGGUAGAACGAAAGUCACAAAUAGCAUUCUAGCAAUCGGAAUGCUUAGCACCUCUGCGACGUCACAGACUUACGCGGUCUGAUUUUCAGUCGGUAGAAUCAGUAGCGGAUCUAAACUUAUCGAGACCUGAUGCCCGAGGAACGCUUUCUUUUUCUCGUGAAAUCUGCCUCGUGAAAGACAAAUCGUAUCGUGAAAUUGUAUUUUAAUCCUAUCAAGUAUAGAAAUAACGCCGACGCGGGUCAUCUAACAAGAUUAAAUGCUUACCAGUCAAAUGUAUUUGCAGAUAUUAAAUUUGAAAAAAAAAAAGAAAAAAGAAAAAAGAAAAAAUUAGUAAAAAUUUCAGGCAGAUCCGCACCUGGGUAAAAUGCGGCGUCGCCAAUGUCAUUCUACCAAUCGGAAGCCUCGCGGCAUACGCGCGGCUGUGACGCGACAAUUUUUUUUAUUCGUCAGCGUACAGAGAUUGUCUGAAGUCAUGAGUCAGACGACGCUUACGAAAGAGGUAGGGGUCAGCGACGUAAAUUUCAGCGGGCAUCUUUGAAAAGAGAGAGUUAUUGUACCUAGACGACAUCAAGUGUUUACAUAUCAACGCGACGAAUUCAACUGACAUUUCUCUCCCAAAAGAAACUUCGGUCAAAAAAUCCGAUUAAUAGGCCACCGAAAACAUUCUUCGCAUGCUUUCCUCUAGCCAGAUGGUUAAAACUGACCACUGUGUGACGGUCGGUAAAAGGACGGCCGUCUUGCACGAUAAGAUAGAUCCGUUCCUCGCGUAUCGUGCACCAGAUUACCGCGAGUCGACACCUGGUACAUACCCGUCUAACCGAGAGUUGUUCGAUCUUGUUCAAAUAAUCACGGUAAACAUCAGCAAUCGGAAGUGACAAUAAUAAUGCCGGACGAGUAUAGAAACGAAGAGGUAAACGAGUAACUACAUUAACGGGUUGUGUAAGUGGGCAGUCUACUAAGCGGAUGAGUAAUCAUAUAAAUAGACAGACAGCUGUCUAGGCGAAUACGCAAAUACGCAAAUAAGCAGAUAGUCGGCCAAGCAAUUACGUGCAUAAGCGAAUGGAAAGAUCUACAAGAUAAGUAGAUAAAUAGACGAGUAAGUACGUGGACGUACUGUGGCAAGCUGUCAAGAGGAAAGGAUCGCGUCGCGACCGAGGGACGGAGGGGGCGAGGGAGACAUUUUCUUUGCUUACUGAGGCGUCGAUGUAUCAGCAGUCGGCGAGAGAAAUUCACCGUGGCGGUUAAAGCGGACGGUAAUGCAGAUUGCAAGGUGAACUCUAGGCGGUUUCUGUUACCGCGAUGCAUUACACGCGUGGACUCUGCAUUUCCCGAGUUUUCGCUCUCAAGAGUCAUCUACACCAGUGGUGCGCAACCUGUCUAGCUGCUGGUGGACGGAUCGUGUUCAGAUAAAAUAAUGUUUUACCGCGGAACAACGUUACAGUUGUUCAAAAUACUAUUCAGAAUUUUUAGCUAAUUUGCAUUCAGAAUGCGAAGAGUAACUAUCAAUUACUCACUUUUAUCAACUCCUAUGGGCCCGUGUAACUUUUAGGUAGCAUGCUAAUAUAUCGAUAUUUCAUCAGGUAAUUUCAUUUUUUUCUUUUUUUUUUUUCAGUUGACAGCAUUAUCAAUCAGAUAUAGUCAAGCAAAUGCGUGACAAGUUGUCUGCAGAAAAAAUUCGUUCCAUAGAGAGUUAACAGAAAAUCACUUAAGCGGUAUUUGAACGUAUCUCAAAGUAUUUAAAGAAAUUUGAAAAAUUGUCGGUUUUACAGCUGUUUAAAGGCAUUCGAAAAAUGAUAACUAUCCAACUAGCUAACGGAUGAGAAUAAGCUUUCGUGGGCUUACAGGAAAAUCAUUAAAGUAUCGAAUUCAAAGUAAUUAAUAUAUGCCUUGUUUUUCUGAUACGUAUAAUUUUAAAAAUGUGAAAAAGAAAAAAAAAUUGUCAAUAUAGCCAUAUUGCCAUUUAUACUGUAACCUAUUAAUCGUGGUGGUCUACUUACAAUGGUCAGACAAGGCUUUUGAUAUCCCUAGUAACAUUAUGCGUAUCCAUUCAUUUACGAUCAAUCGAAGAAACAUAAUCGCGACAUCGUAUCAUAUAUAAUUAUUGUUAUUACAUAUUACAUAACCCACCUAACUUUGUAUAGCGAAUAAUCGCAAAACAUGAUAUUCAUUUGAUGCAUCAAUUAUGCGUUACAAAUAAUUAUCUUAAUAGAUAAAUAUCAUUUUUUUCUCGUAUUAAAAUUCCUCUUUGUACAAUGAAAUAUUUAUACAUGUAAUAUAAUUAAUCAUUCAUCCGUGAUAUUUAAUUAUAAUAUUAUUAGACAAGUACCAAUUUCCUCUGCUAUAUUACAACUUGCAAUUUGAAAUUCGUUAUUUUGGUUCAUGCACAGUGCGUGACAAUAAAUUCCGUAAAGAAUA